CUGCGGAGGAUCAUUACCGAAUUGUCAACACGAGUUGUUGCUGGUCCUCAAACGGGGGCAUGUGCACGCUCUGUUUACACAUCCACUCACACCUGUGCACCCUCCGUAGUUCUGUGGCCUGGGGGGCUCUGCUCCUCCUGCCGUGGUUCUAUGUAUUUACACACACACGCUGUAAUGAAGUCACAUGGAAUGUACAUCGCGUUUAACGCAAUACAAUACAACUUUCAGCAACGGAUCUCUUGGCUCUCGCAUCGAUGAAGAACGCAGCGAAAUGCGAUAAGUAAUGUGAAUUGCAGAAUUCAGUGAAUCAUCGAAUCUUUGAACGCACCUUGCGCCCUUUGGCUAUUCCGAAGGGCAUGCCUGUUUGAGUAUCAUGAACACCUCAACUCUCAUGGCUUGCCAUGAUGAGCUUGGACUUUGGGGGUCUUGCUGGCCUGUGUGGGUCGGCUCCUCUCAAAUGAAUCAGCUCGCCAGUGUUUGGUGGCGUCACAAGUGUGAUAAUUAUCUACGCUUGUGGUUUCCCACCAGGUAACCUUCAGUGAUGGAGGUUCGCUGGGGCUCAUAAACGUCUUUCCUCGUAAAGACAGCUCUCUGAACAUUUGAUCUCAAAUCAGGUAGGACUACCCGCUGAACUUAAGCAUAUCAAUA
rnacentral:misc_RNA from 1 species